AGGAGUGUAGCUCAGUUGGUAGAGCGGUGGUCUCCAAAACCACUGGCCGAGGGUUCGAAUCCUUCCACUCCUG
rnacentral:tRNA from 1 species